rnacentral:rRNA from 1 species
CCUACGGGUGGCAGCAGUGGGGAAUAUUGGGCAAUGGGCGCAAGCCUGACCCAGCAACGCCGCGUGAAGGAAGAAGGCCCUCUGGUUGUAAACUUCUUUUGUCAGGGACGAAACAAAUGACGGUACCUGACGAAUAAGCCACGGCUAACUACGUGCCAGCAGCCGCGGUAAUACGUAGGUGUCAAGCGUUCUCCGGAUUUACUGGGUGUAAAGGGCGUGUAGGCGGGAGGGCAAGUCAGAUGUGAAAUUCCAGGGCUCAACCCUGGAAGUGCCUUUGAAACUGUUUUUCUUUAGUGAGGGAGAGGCAGGCGGAAUUCCGUGUGUAGCGGUGAAAUGCGUAGAUAUACGGAAGAACACCAGUGGCGAAGGCGGCCUACUGGACAUUAACUGACGCUGAGGCGCGAAAGCGUGGGGAGCAAACAGGAUUAGAUACCCGAGUAGUC